rnacentral:ncRNA from 1 species
GAGAGCACAGUACGAUGAAAGUUGUAAGCUGUGUUCGGGGGGGAGUUAUUGUCUAUCUUUGUCCUCUAUGGUAGAACCCGUCGGGGAGGCCUGAGAGGCGGUGGUUUACCCUGU